UACGUAGGGUGCGAGCGUUGUCCGGAAUUAUUGGGCGUAAAGAGCUUGUAGGCGGUCUGUCGCGUCUGCUGUGAAAAUCCGGGGCUCAACCCCGGACUUGCAGUGGGUACGGGCAGACUAGAGUGUGGUAGGGGAGACUGGAAUUCCUGGUGUAGCGGUGAAAUGCGCAGAUAUCAGGAGGAACACCGAUGGCGAAGGCAGCACUCUGGGCCGGUACUGACGCUGAGGAGCGAAAGCAUGGGGAGCGAACAGG
rnacentral:rRNA from 1 species